rnacentral:rRNA from 1 species
UGGGGAAUUUUGGACAAUGGGCGCAAGCCUGAUCCAGCCAUGCCGCGUGCGGGAAGAAGGCCUUCGGGUUGUAAACCGCUUUUGUCAGGGAAGAAAUCUUCUGAGUUAAUACCUCGGGAGGAUGACGGUACCUGAAGAAUAAGCACCGGCUAACUACGUGCCAGCAGCCGCGGUAAUACGUAGGGUGCAAGCGUUAAUCGGAAUUACUGGGCGUAAAGCGUGCGCAGGCGGUUUUGUAAGACAGAGGUGAAAUCCCCGGGCUCAACCUGGGAACUGCCUUUGUGACUGCAAGGCUUGAGUGCGGCAGAGGGGGGAUGGAAUUCCGCGUGUAGCAGUGAAAUGCGUAGAUAUGCGGAGGAACACCGAUGGCGAAGGCAAUCCCCUGGGCCUGCACUGACGCUCAUGCACGAAAGCGUGGGGAGCAAACAGGAUUAGAUACCCUGGUAGUCCACGCCCUAAAACGGGUGUCAACUGGUUGUUGGGAAGGUUCCUUCUCAGUAACGUAGCUAACGCGUGAAGUUGACCGCCUGGGGAGUACGGCCGC